rnacentral:rRNA from 1 species
UACGAAGGGGGCUAGCGUUGCUCGGAAUCACUGGGCGUAAAGCGCACGUAGGCGGCUUUUUAAGUCAGGGGUGAAAUCCUGGAGCUCAACUCCAGAACUGCCUUUGAUACUGGGAAGCUUGAGUCCGGAAGAGGUGAGUGGAACUCCGAGUGUAGAGGUGAAAUUCGUAGAUAUGACAUAGAACACCUAUUGCGAAGGCAGCUUACUACGCAUAUAUUGACGCUGAGGCACGAAAGCGUGGGGAUCAAACAGG